rnacentral:sRNA from 2 species
CCGACAAUGUAUAAACUACUACCAGGUAAUUACUCCCGUGAAGUACACCUCCCCACUUGAAUCUGCUUGGUCUCCACGGUCGCCUGACAGUACGGCAUUAUUUUUUUUCUCUUCAAUGGCAUACUAGAACAGAUUGAUAUUGCAUUAGUGCGGCAUUUUUGGGGGGAUGGCUUGGGGAUUCCCCCUGAGUUGUGCAAGACAAGCCUACACUGCAUCUAUCCGUUCAAGUCUCUACCAUCGCAGCAAUAACUUGGCAUCAGUCCGAGGAUAUUGGGCGAGCUGACCCGGAGGCAAACGGAAAGAGAGGAAAUAUAUUGAAUAGCAAGGUCCUUAAGGUGGUUGCGAUUUAUUUACCCCGUAUUUCUGAUGUGUAUAGUGUGCUUUUUAAUAAGAGGACAUAACCUUUAGAUAUUGAUAUAGACCUGAUACAUUCAAAGUGCUAUCCAAAAAUUUUAUUACUGUUGUAGAUGGCAGCACUGGG